GCCCCGCCCCCGCGAGGCCCCUCCCCGCGGACGGCUCUCUGCGCGGACCCGGCGGCAGGAGCCGGACGCGCGGUUGCGGUUCCCGGUGUCGCGGACGGGGUCGAGGCCGGCGGCCCGAGGCGCCCGAGCGGGGUGCGCCCAGAGAGCGGCGGCAGCCGAGCAGCCAUGGCGGAGGCCACGCCGCAUCCCCUGGCGCUCCCCUCGGGGCUACUGGAGCUGUGCGCGCUGCUGGGGCCCUCCCGGGACAGCCUCCGCGGCCCCGAGCUGGUGGCCCAGAAGAAGGGGGCCAGCAGCCUCUCUGCUCUCGACCCGGAGGUCCUGUCCGUCUUUGUUCCUCCUUUCGUCAGUAAGGAGGACACUCAGCUGGCUGGCACCAACUGCGCUCUGAGCAAGACCAGAAGGCGCUCCUUCAGAAAGAAGAGGGAGAAGCCCAAAACAGAGCCCUGGAAGGGACCCCCUCCGGAAGACGUCAGCGUCCCCAAUGGCGUGGACCUGCUCGCCCUGCCUCAGCUCUGCUUCCCAGGGGGCGUGUGUGUGGCCUCCGAACCGAAGGAGGACUCUGUCCACUUUCUGGUGCUGACCGAUGUCUGUGGGAACAGGACGUACGGCGUGGUUGCCCAGUACUACCGACCCCUGCACGACGAGUCCUGUUUCUACAACGGCAAGAUGCACUGGGAGCCGUUCAGGCCACCUGGGGGUGCGGCUGGCUGCUUCGUGCCCUUUGCCGUGUGUGUGGUCUCCAGAUUCCCCUAUUACAACGCCCUUAAGGACUGCCUGUCUUGUUUAUUGACUCAUCUGAAGCUCUGUAAAGAUUUCGAAGUUGACAAUCACAUAAAAGAUUUUGCUGCAAAGCUAUCUUUAAUCCCUAGCCCACCGCCUGGACCACUUCAUUUGGUGUUCAACAUGAAGCCGCUGCAGAUCGUGUUUCCCUCCCGGGCGGACCCCGAGAGCCCGGUCGUCGACCUGGACCUUCACCUGCCCUUGCUGUGCUUCAGGCCCGAGCAGGUGCUGCAGAUCCUGACGUGCCUGCUGACGGAGCAGCGCAUCGUGUUCUUCUCGUCCAGCUGGGCUCUGCUGGCCCUGGUGGCCGAGUGCUUCCUCGCCUACCUGCACCCCCUGCAGUGGCAGCACACCUUCGUGCCCAUCCUGUCGGGCCAGAUGCUGGACUUCGUCAUGGCGCCCACGUCCUUCCUCAUGGGCUGCCACCUGGACCACUUCCAAGAAGUCAGCAAGGAAGCUGAUGGUUUAAUUCUGAUAAAUAUCGACAACGGGAGCGUCACCUACUCUAAUGACGAGGACAUCGAUGUUCCCGACAUCCCUCUCCUGGCGGCACAGACGUUUAUUCAGAGGGUCCAGAGCCUUCAGCUGCACCACGACCUGGACCUCGCUCACCUGGGCGCCAGCACAGACCUGAACGAGGGGCGCGCCCGCAGGCGGGCCUGGCAGCAGGGACUCAACUACCAGCUGCAGCAGGUGGCCCUACAGCUGCUCGUCAGCAUCUUCAGGGAGGUGAAGGAUCACUUAAAUCACGAGCACAGGGUGUUCAACAGCGAGGAGUUUCUCAAAACCAGAGCUCCGGGGGAGCAGCAGUUCUACAAGCAGGUUCUGGAUACCUACAUGUUUCACUCUUUCCUUAAAGCCCGGCUCAGCAGAAGAAUGGACGCCUUCGCCCAGAUGGACCUCGACACACAGUCGGACGAGGACAGGUUAAGCGGGAUGCUGCCGAGUCCCCGAAGACCGACCAUCGAGAAGAUGGCCUCCCGGAACUCGUCGUCCCUGCACGUCACUCACCGGCGCAUGGUGGUCAGCAUGCCCAACCUGCGGGACAUCGCGGUGCCUGAGCUGCCCGCCCGGAACUCGUCGCUCCGGAAGAUGGACUCCGAGGGCUCCAGGAGCAGCAGCACAGUUCCGAGUGUGACCCCCAAGGCGACGUGUUCCUUCAAGGUCCCGGAGAUCCACUUCCCGCUGGUGAGCCAGUGCGUUCAGGCCUACUACUCCGACUGCGUGGGCCUGCUGAGCAAGGCCAUGAGCCUGCUGGCCCCCGACAACUCCGUGCUGCUAGCCAGGUACUUCUAUCUCCGGGGGGCCGUCCACCUGAUGCAGGGGCAGCUGCUGGACGCCCUCUUGGAUUUCCAGAGCCUGUACAAGACAGACAUAAGGAUCUUCCCGGCCGAUCUCGUCCGGAGGACGGUGGAGUCCAUGUCGGGCCCCGAGCGCGCCCAGGCCGAGCGGGUGCCCCAGCUGCGACGCCUCAUCAGCGAGGUCGUGGACAAGCCCGGGGAGGCCCCCAAGCCGGACGACCGCGUGAAAAACUUCGAGCUGCCGAAGAAGCACAUGCAGCUGGACGACUUCGUGAAGAGGGUCCAGGAGUCGGGCAUCGUGAAGGACACCAACAUCAUAAACCGAUUGUUCGAGGCGUUGACUGUAGGACACCAGAAACAGAUUGACCCGGAAACAUUCAAAGAUUUCUACAACUGCUGGAAGGAGGCCGAGGCGGAGGCCCAGGAGGUCAGUCUGCCUUCGUCGGUGAUGGAACACCUGGAUAAGAACGAGUGUGUCUACAAGCUGUCGAGCUCGGUCAAGACAAAUCGCGGCGUGGGCAAGAUCGCCAUGACCCAGAAGCGCCUGUUCCUCCUAACCGAAGGAAGGCCGGGCUACGUGGAGAUCUCCACCUUCAGGGACAUAGAGGAAGUCAGAAGUACCACAGUAGCCUUUCUGCUUCUGCGAAUACCCACUUUGAAGAUUAAGACGGCAUCCAAGAAAGAAGUCUUUGAAGCUAAUCUUAAGACGGAGUGUGACGUGUGGCACUUGAUGGUGAAGGAGAUGUGGGCCGGGAAGAAGCUGGCCGAUGACCACAAGGACCCUCAGUACAUCCAGCAGGCGCUGACCCACGUCUUGCUGAUGGACGCCGUUGUUGGCACGCUGCAGUCGCCUGGUGCCAUUUACGCUGCCUCCAAGUUAUCUUACUUCGAUAAGAUGCGGAACGAAAUGCCCGCGGCGGUCCCCAAGACGACCUCGGAGACCCUCAAGCACAAGAUAAACCCUUCGGCGGGAGAGACCGUGCCGCACGCCGUGGACGUCUUGCUCUACACGCCCGGGCAUCUAGACCCGGCAGAAAAAGUUGAAGACGCUCACCCCAAAUUAUGGUGUGCUCUAAGUGAGGGCAAAGUGAUCGUGUUUGACGCUUCCUCCUGGACGAUUCACCAGCACUGCUUCCGAGUGGGCACUUCUAAGCUGAACUGCAUGGCGAUGGCGGAGCAGAGCCAGGUGUGGGUCGGCUCAGAGGACUCCGUCAUCUACAUCAUCAACGUCCACAGCAUGUCCUGCAACAAGCAGCUCACGGACCACCGCUCCGGGGUCACGGGCUUCGCUGUCCAGAGCGGGGCGCCCAGCAAGGUGUAUUCGUGCAGCACGGACGGGACGGUCCUGGCCUGGAAUGUGAGCUCCCUGCGCGUGACCAGCAGGCUCCAGCUGCCGGGUGGCGGGCUUUCGUCCAUCCGCCUGCACGACGACUGUCUGUGGUGCUGUCUCAGAAAAACCACACCGAACGGAGCCUAGAAGCAGGAAGGCGAUGUGACGGCAGCUCGCACUUUCCAUGACUGAACACUCAGCUGGGCUUCCAGUCCUGGGGUGGCCACAGCCGGCAGGGGUCCCUGUGUGUCAAGGCCGAGUGCCGGGGGUCCUGUGGUCCGCUCGCAGGGGACGGGAAGCCGGAGUGGCACAGCCCGGGGCCGCUCCCACGUUCCACCUCACGGGCUGCUGUGCCCUCCUGCCCCCGUGUGUGCGAGGCUGGCCCGGUGGCCGCAGCGCCGGGGGCGGGCGGCCGAGCAGGAAGCACGGAAGACAAGGACGGGCUUCGCGGCGUUUCCGUCCCUCCGUGUCCGGGGCUGCCCCGCAGCUGGUGUCUCCACGUUCCCCGCUGCCUGGAGCCUGGUGACCUACAGGUCUCGGGACGUGCAGACGCUUGGCUUGCAAGACGACCUUUUCCUUGAGCCGUAAACGGAAGCACUUAGUGGCCUGUGGCGCUGUCCCCUAUAGUUCUAAGUGCCGGCAGGGUGAGGGCAGGCCGCACCUUUUAGCGACAGGAGGAGACCCGGAACGUCCGCAUUUGCAAAGCCUCAGGAGGGGCCGCGGGGCGGACGGGUCACCGGGGUCCUGGGAGCAGCGUGCCAGUGCCCGAGCCGGCACCGGGCGGCAGCCGGUUGACCCUUCCGGCGGCCCCGGGGCACCCGCCUUCCCUCACGCUGGCUCUUCUGCUCCGCAGGCACAGGUAGCGGCAUCGUGGUCGUGACGACAGGUGGAUCUCUUCGUCAGGAACUGAAGGUGGAGGAGAACUCUAAGGACGCGAGCACCUCCUUCCUGGGUUUCCAGCUCCUCCCCGAGCAGGAGCAGCUGUGGGCGGCGUGUGCUGGGC